CAGCACUCCAGUGUAUUAUAUAGCUCAGUGGCGUAAGCCCUCCUGCCUGAGCUCGCCUGCCUGUCCACCCUCAGAACAAAACAUCUGGAGAACACCUACCAGCUCUGCACCUACCAUCCACAUUCCUGGACAUCAUCACCCUCCCAAGCUCAAGCCUCACCAUCAGCCCACAAGACCCAGAAAUCCAGCCUGCAGACGUCAUGUCCACAUUUAUUAUUUUUUUAAAUAAAACCUUUAAC